ensembl:misc_RNA 7SK 7SK RNA
AGCAAUCUGGCUGCAAUCUCUGAAACUCUAUUGAUCUUGAUGAUUGAUUUCGUUGAUCUUACUAGGUAGGCAGGUUCCCCUUCCCU